UUCACUUUGGGUAGGGGCCAGUGUAUCAGACUGUUGAACUUCCAGGUCAUGUUGGGGCAUGUCCAUGAGCUGUUACCUGUUCUCUGGAGAAUUACCGAGUAAUAUAUUUUCCCCAUCUGACAAACCAAAUGGGAACGGCCACCACAGAUAUAUUUGUGAAAGGAAAAGCUUGUUGUGGCCAUUUGGAGUCGUACUUGAUGGUCCUGAGGGCGGAGCCAUCUCCCAUGCUGCGGUAAAUGACGGCGUCGCUGGCCAGGAAGUCCGCCACGGUAGCAGAGUACAGUUUCCCAUCUGCAAGAGACGCGCGGCGAAGCGCGGGUAUAAUGAGAGAUCAAGCAGAACUGGGAAAACCAGACUGAG